CUAUAUUCAAGUCAAAAGUGCCCAAAAUAGGUAUUUAUUCAAAACCUAUUUCAUCCAUCUUCUCCAUAAGGUAACCUCCAAAACAUUCCUUUUAAAUUAUGUUAAUUAGCUAAUUAAUAGAUUUAUUACCUAAUUAAUCUAUUAUGGCUAAUUAAAUAACCAAUUAACUACAAAAUGCACUCAAAAACACCAUAAAGGGUCGGGCCACCUUCUCCCCCAAAGAGGCCCGCCAUGCCCUAUAUAUAAUACCCCAUUUUCUCUAAAAACCUAGGUCAACACUCUUGCUAAAUACUCAAAAUUCUCCAAACACCUUUCCCUCAAAAUUCUAACUUUGGCAUAUGAGGUUCUUCUGCCAAAGCACCCCCAUUCAUCAUGGGCGCGUGAUGCUAUUGGCCUUGACCUAAGGUGCUAUUUGUUUUUUAGUUGCAAUUUUGUCCAAAAACAAGGAGGAAGAAACUGCACUUUAUUUCCAUUUGUCAUGUUUAUUUGUCGUUUGUUAUUUGCUUGUUUUUUGUGUGAGUAUAUGCUUGAAACAUUGAGGACAAUGUUCGAUUUAAGUGUGGGGGAAUUGGUAACUAUUGUUUUGCAUGAAAAUUUGUAGAAAAUGAUCACCCAUUACUUCUAGUGUUGUUCCUUGCUGUUUAAGUGUUUUUAAGCUGUUUUGGAGUGUUUCAGUAUGUUUUGACAUAAAAAUCCAAAAAUCUCAUAAAAAUUUGAAAAAUUGUUUUGAAAAACCGAAAAAGAGUUGUUUUUGUUUGUUUAUUUUGUGUCUUAAGGUACCUUCCAACACAAUGAUGAGGAUUUGGUUUUUAAUUACAUGACUGUUAAAGAGAAUUAUAAACAUGGAUGAAAGUUUGAUAUGCUCUUUGGUUUAUACUUGGUUGUAGUUAUAAUUUAUGAAUUCACAUGCAAUCAUAAAGGAAAAAUUAGUUUUUGUAACAUGCUUGAAGAAAGGAACUCAAACAAACGCUCCAACCUUGUGAGACUUGAGCCUAAACGUUAUUUGGAGAGUUGAUAAUCUGUGCAUUAUUGUUUUCUAAAGUCGUUGCAUGAUCUCAUUUUUCUUUGCUUAGUUACUACUUAGAAGGCGUUUCAUCAUUUAGUUCCAAAUGCUAGAACUCAUGCCCAUUUCAUUCAAAGCAUGAUAUUGAUUUGCAUAACACAUAUUCAAGAUGCAGUUGUGUAGUUACCACCACCAAAGCCAAAUUGCCUUGUAUCCUACUUCAUUAUUUGUUUAAGUUAACCCCAUUGAGCCUUGUUAGCCUACGUUCUUUGUUAACCUACGUUAUCCUCACCUAGCCUAGAUUAGGACCAUCCAUACCCUUGUUCUUCAAAGCAUAGUAAAGCAUGAUUCAAAUUGAAUUCCUUGUAAUUAUGUAUGGUAGAAAAUAAGUGUGGGGGAAGUGUUUCUCAUGUAAGUAGUGUGCCAUAGGCACGGGUGGAAAAAAAAAAAAAGAGUUGAAUUUGACCCUAAGAGUUGUUUAAAUCUUUCCCUUACGUCUAAAAGUUGAUUUCUACAAUCUAAGUGAAUUCUAAGUUCAAGUUCAUUAUUUUAUUUGCUAUUGCUUUAAGAACGUUUGUUUUCCCUUACCUUCAUUUGUUAGCCAACACCCCAAGCCCCAUUACAACCCUUGACUUCAAUCUUGAGUGUUAUGUGUUUCAAUAUAUACAUAUAUAUAUGUAUAAUGUGGCGUAAAAUGCACAAUCUAUAACGCCCUACUCCCGAAUUAUUUAUUUUCAGAAAUAAUUAUAGGGGAUAAGUCCAACUAAACACUAGUUUAAUUAACUAUCAUUACUUACGUUUCCUUAUUUCAGUUUCUUGAUUCCUUCCACAUUGAUUUAUGACCAACAUCCAAUCACUAAAAACAUAAAGUUAAAUCUCAUAUUUUCACCAAUUUCCUUUGCAAUGCUCAAUUCCCAAACAAGGUUUUUGUUUCAAAUAUUGUAUGAUUGCAUCUAACGUCUCGUUAAACUGCCUACGUACCUUAAACAGAGAUCAAACCAUUCGUAGUUUACAUUAGUACUUCAAAGUAUACACAGUAAUUAUAUGCAAUAAUCAAUUUAUAACCGUUUGUGGAAUUAUAUAUAUAUAUAUAUAUAUAUAUACACGCACGAUAGAAAGGAAACGACCCACUUACCUGAGGUUCGCGCUACGAGUUCCUAGCACACAUAUCGAGAUAUCACGAACCAUCGUCGCCUAUGACCAAUUAUCAAAUCACAUCUUAGAGUUCAUACCGAUAAAAUACACAAUUUACAUAAAACACAUCCCUACGUAAUUCAAUUUGGAAGAUCUACAUCACAGAUUUCCGAUCUGUUGCUUCCAAAGAUCCACAUUAUACCUCUAGAACAACAUCCUAAAGUCCCAUUAUGAUCCAACGGUCGGAUCUCCGCCAAUUACCAAAACUAAAUGGCGGUUAACCUUUUAUUUCAUGAACUUACAAAUUCAAUUCGAGAAGAUUCGUAUAUCAAAUUCCCGAUCCAUGAAUUCCUAUUGUUUUCAAAUAUUAUGUACUAAAAUAUAUUAAACUUUGGUGACGAUCCAACAGUCGGAUCGUCGAUUCAUAUCUUUACCAAGUAACGUAUCCUAAUGAGUUUAGGUCUAAACGAUCAACCUACAAUAUACAAUUUCCAAAACUGAACUCAAGACAUCUAAUUUAGCCUAAGGAUAACAUCGACGGUCCCUUGGCCACG
rnacentral:lncRNA from 1 species